CCGUUGAAAGGCUAGUUGUAAAAGAAGUAACUUGUUGUAUAUGUCGGUUUUGAAUUUCAUGCUGCUAUAGAGAUCUAUGUAUGGAGCUGGUUAUCGAAGUUUCAGUGUUCAUUUACAAGAUUUUUGAGAAAAAAUGAUUGAUUUAUUGUCAUUUGAUUGCAAGUAUGGAAUGAAAUACUAGUAGAUGAUGUUUUGUGCUGAAUUUUGCACAAAAAAAAGCCAUGUUAUGUCUUGCAUAUCAAGUAUUUUAGCUCUUCCUUUUGGAAACUUUUGUCUGGCUUUAUACCAUGACAUAUACUUUAUAUCAUAUUUAAGACACAAAAACUAAGCUUACUCUUUUUCUGCACAAAGCAUGCACCUUUACAGUGUUUAUCUUUGUAUUCUUUGCAUUAAAAUGUACAAUUAAUUUUAGCUUGUAAGGAAAGAACUUGGCACUCUGGGAACUUUGUCUGCAGUGAAAGCCAUAAAAAUGGAAUGUUAUUGAAGUUGAACAAUAUAUAUAUAAAGGUGUGAUCUCACAUCUACUAUAGCUGUUUCAACAUUAUUUAGAUACUGCUAAAUUCUUUUAGCAAAGGCAAGCUAGCAGAAUUGUAUGAUGUGAAUGUAGUUUCUUGCCAUUAAUACAGUAAGAUAAAAUACAUCCACAUACUGAGGUACAGUUUAGAAAAAAAAGCGCUACAUUGUUACAAAGUAGUGCAGUAUUUAUCAGAAGGCUACCUUCUCAGGAAUGUACACAAAUUAAAAUCAUGUGUGACUUGAGUAAUGUUUCCCAGAGAAGUACGAACAAGAUUGAUUGAAUUUUUUGCUUAAUGUGUGUAAAAAAAGGAGGAAGCUGGUGUAUUAUGCCACUAGCUGUGGUGAGUUUCAGGUUUGGAAUGUUUGAAGACAUUACAGCAAUAGCUUAUCUUUUUCACUUCA